rnacentral:rRNA from 1 species
AGAACGAACGCUGGCGGCAUGCCUAAUACAUGCAAGUCGAACGAACACUUCGGUGUUAGUGGCGCACGGGUGCGUAACGCGUGGGAAUCUGCCCUUGGGUUCGGAAUAACAGUUGGAAACGACUGCUAACACCGGAUGAUGACGAAAGUCCAAAGAUUUAUCGCCCAGGGAUGAGCCCGCGUAGGAUUAGCUAGUUGGUGAGGUAAAGGCUCACCAAGGCGACGAUCCUUAGCUGGUCUGAGAGGAUGAUCAGCCACACUGGGACUGAGACACGGCCCAGACUCCUACGGGGGGCAGCAGUAGGGAAUAUUGGACAAUGGGCGCAAGCCUGAUCCAGCAAUGCCGCGUGAGUGAUGAAGGCCUUAGGUUGUAAAGCUCUUUACCCGAGAUGAUAAUGACAGUAUCGGAGAAUAAGCCCCGCUAACUCCGUGCCAGCAGCCGC